GAUGAACGCUAGCGGCAGGCUUAAUACAUGCAAGUCGAGGGGCAGCAUGGUGUAGCAAUACACUGAUGGCGACCGGCAAACGGGUGCGUAACACGUACGCAACCUUCCCGUUACUGGGGAAUAGCCCAGGGAAACUUGGAUUAAUACCCCAUAUUAUAUGGACCGGGCAUCUGGUUCAUAUCAAAGAUUCAUCGGUAACGGAUGGGCGUGCGGUUGAUUAGGUAGUUGGCGGGUAACGGCCCACCAAGCCUACGAUCAAUAGCUGAUGUGAGAGCAUGAUCAGCCACACGGGCACUGAGACACGGGCCCGACUCCUACGGGAGGCAGCAGUAAGGAAUAUUGGGCAAUGGACGGAAGUCUGACCCAGCCAUGCCGCGUGGAGGAU
rnacentral:rRNA from 1 species